AACGCACCUUGCGCUCCUUGGUAUUCCGAGGAGCAUGCCUGUUUGAGUGUCAUUAAAUUCUCAACCUCACUAGUUUUCUGAACUAGUGUAGGCUUGGAUGUGGAGGUCGUGCCGGCUGCUCUCUGAGCGGUCAGCUCCUCUGAAAUGCAUUAGCGAGUUCAUAUUGAACUCCGUCUAUUGGUGUGAUAAUUAUCUACGCCGUGGAUGGGGUUUAGACUUGCUUCUAACCGUCCGCAAGGACAACUUUUGACAAUUUGACCUCAAAUCAGGUAGGACUACCCGCUGAACUUAA
rnacentral:misc_RNA from 1 species